rnacentral:rRNA from 1 species
AACAAACGCUGGCGGCGUGCCUAAUACACGCAAGUCGAACGGGGAAAGCUUUCGGGUGAGUACUAGUGGCGCACGGGUGAGUAACGCGUGGAUAAUCUGCCUUAGAGUGGGGGAUAACUAGUCGAAAGAUUAGCUAAUACCGCAUAAGACCACAAGAACUGCGGUUCAAGAGGUCAAAGGUUUUUCGCUCUAAGAUGAGUCCGCGUAAGAUUAGCUAGUUGGUGAGGUAACGGCUCACCAAGGCAACGAUCUUUAACUGGUCUGAGAGGAUGAUCAGUCACACUGGAACUGAGACACGGUCAAGACUCCUACGGGAGGCAGCAGUAGGGAAUAUUGCACAAUGGAGGAAACUCUGAUGCAGCGACGCCGCGUGAGUGAUGAAGGCCUUCGGGUCGUAAAGCUCUGUCGCAGGGGAAUAACACAAUGAAUGUACCCUGUAAGAAAGGAUCGGCUAACUUCGUGCCAGCCGCCGCGGUAAGAC